UACGUAGGGCGCAAGCGUUGUCCGGAAUUAUUGGGCGUAAAGAGCUCGUAGGCGGCCUGUUGCGUCCGCUGUGAAAUCCCGGGGCUCAACCCCGGGCCUGCAGUGGAUACGGGCUGGCUGGAGGCAGGCAGGGGAGAACGGAAUUCCUGGUGUAGCGGUGAAAUGCGUAGAUAUCAGGAGGAACACCUGUGGUGUAGACAGCUUACUGGACCACUUCUGACGCUGAGACACGAAAGCGUGGGUAGCAAACAGG
rnacentral:rRNA from 1 species